AUAAUACUUCUUCCGUCCAGAAUUACUUGUCGCAGAGAUGGAUAAAAAUUAAUAUAUCUGAAACUAAAAUACAUCUAGGUAUAUUCAUUUUUCUGACAAAUAUUUUCGGAUGGAGGGAGUAUAUA
rfam:Triticum aestivum genome assembly, contig: Triticum_aestivum_CS42_TGACv1_scaffold_129414_2BL